AUGGGAGGAGGACGAGGACUUCUAGGCCUGGAGACCCUCGGGCCUGGGGGCGGGUGCUCUGGAGAGGGUCCGCUGUGCCAAUGGCCGCCGCCAGGGUCGCCACCGGUGCCCUCCCUCCUCGCCUCCCUCCCUCUCGAGCCGCCGCGAUGUCCCCUGCGCUCCUGUCCCCUCCCGCGUAGUGCUUGCCUUUGUUCCAGGAAUAGCGCUCCAGGCUCCUGCCGCCGCCCCUGGGCCUCACUUUGGAGCGAGCUGCCGCCGCCCUCUUCUUCCAUCCGGCCAGCCCCACCCAUGCAUAUUUGGACGCUGUCCUGCUCUCCAGCUGCAAGCUGGGCUCCUGUUACACACUGGAUUAGACCACCCACAGCCGCCGCUGCCAACCCUCCUCCACCCCACGAGACUGCCAGACGACUACAUCAUUCUGCCCACAGACCUGCGCUGCCACUGCCAUCGCCAUCCACCGCAUCCCAGUGAUCUGGACUCACCUCGGAGGUAUCUGAGCUGGCCACAGCCCCUGGACAGUGAUCCAGACCGCUGGCUGCACCCCAAGGGAUCUGUCACCUUCAGCGAGACCUAUUUCCUCCCCACUCCCAAAGACCUCUUGUGUUCCUGCCUAGGCCCAGGUGUGCCUGGCAGCCAAAUCGAGUCUCUAAUUUUCUCUUGUGGACCAGUUAGUUUUGACCAUAACCCAGUUUUCUGAGUUUGCAGCUGUCUCUCUGAUGUGUGCCUUUUGUUCAACACAGUAACCCCUGCAUUCUGCUCUGCUCUAAUACACUACCUGGAGAAAGUCUUUUCCUUAUUUUCAAUAAAUGUCAGACAUUAUUGAAAAGAAA